CGUCUCAGUUCGGACUGUGGUCUGCAACUCGACCACACGAAGCUGGAAUCGCUAGUAAUCGCGAAUCAGCAUGUCGCGGUGAAUACGUUCCCGGGUCUUGUACACACCGCCCGUCACACCAUGGGAGUCAGCAACGCCCGAAGUCAGUGACCUAACCGAGAGGAAGGAGCUGCCGAAGGCGGGGCAGGUAACUGGGGUGAAGUCGUAACAAGGUAAC
rnacentral:rRNA from 1 species